CUGGGCGGGGCGAGCUGGGAGGCGGAGCGAACUGGGAGGCGCGCGGCGCGCUGGGACUGUGAGGACGCCCUGGCGGAGCCGCUAGAGCCGGCUUGUCUUGAGGUCACUCAUUAUGGGGAAGGUGGAUGCUGUGUCACUGCAGACAAUCGAGCAGCUUCACAGAGAGGUCCACAUGUGACAGCUUCUACCUGAAUGAUUCAUACAUCUGAGAACUGCUGCUGACUUCUUGAAGAUCCCUUGGAGGAGGAAAUGGCAACCCACUCCCGUAUUCUUGCCUGGAAAAUCCUAUGAACAGAGGAGCCUGGUGGGCUACAGUCCAAGGGGUUGUGAAGAGUAAGACACGACUGAGCUCAUUCGCACACAGCACAGCUGACUGACUUCUUAAAUCUCUUCUCACUCUUAGAUAAGUGUUGAACAGAAAUAGUGAACGGAACAUCGCUACCUUGAUGGAUCAUAAUCUUAGAGAACCUUCACUCUUUCAACAUUAAAUGUACUAGAUAACUCUAGGUUUUUUGUAAAUUCCCCUUAUCAGUUUGAAGGAGUCUCCUUCUCUUCUUAGUUUGUUGAGAGAUCUUAUCAUGACUGGAUGUUGAAUUUUGCCAAAUUAUUUUUCCAUAGCUAUUGAAAAGAUCAUCUUGGUUUCUUUUUCAACCCAUUAAUGUUGUUAAUUCCCAUAUCCUUUACAAGGUAUGUUAAAUCUCCAGGAGGAACAACAAUACAGAUUUUGACCACAGAGCCUUCAUUUUCACUGAAUACUUUUAAGAACUAAUGAUCUAUAGAACAUACUGGGAAAUGCUCAUAUAGAAACUAUAUGUAUAGCAUGAACAUAACCCUUUUUAGACCCACAGGAUUAUUAAUAAUAGGUAACCAAGAUAAUGUAGAGAAUGCACUUAGCUUAAUGCUGAGCACAUAAGUACUCUAGAGAUAUUCAAAUAUUAAAAACUAAUUCAAAUAUUAAAUUGAACAUGAAUUCUACAUUUAUUUUAUGCUUACUUUUUCAGAGUCACUGUUAGUGAUAUUACAAAUAUUAACAUAAAAAUUAGGAUAACUUAUUUAAAACAUGACUAAGUUAUUUUCAGUUUCUCUUACCCAAUAAGGAAAAUGGUCUGUCAAUAUAUUCUGUCAAAAUUAUAAAGAACAGUUGUUUUCACAGCUUAGAUUCACCAGAUUUCAACCUUACCCUGCAGAGAAGCCUGACUGAAUUUAAAGAUAUUCCUCAAUACCAACACAGGUUGAAAAUAACUUUUAUGAAAUUCCUCCCAUGUUGUCUAUCAUUCACUUAAGAAGGCUUCAGCUGUGUGGGAAGUCACAGAGAACAAUAUGGAUUUUAAGGGUGACUUGUUCCAAAGAGAAUGCAAACAUUUGUAUGGACUCAUGGAAAGCAGGUUAUAAUUGUUGAAAACACAUAUACACACAAAAGUCAAUACGUAUAUCUUAUUUUUUACUUGGAGAGUCCCAAACGUAUUGUCUGUGCUGUUAUAUAAUUUAUUGAUCAAUCACAGACUGAGUUUUAAUUUGACUAGUGUGAUAGGGCCUGUUCCUUUUGGUAUUAAAAAUUCUCAGGAAAGGGGAACCAGACAAUCGCAAGUCACAACUGUCAAAUUGUCUUUUCUGUUACAAGUUUUGCUUUAUAACUUUGAGUAAUUACAGGGAUUAGAUGCUAUCCCUGGGACAAUAGUUUCCUCACAUUUCAGAACAGCAGUUUAUAAUGAUGCUUAUAUGUUAGUUUGAUAUUGCGUGUUGUUAAAAGAAUCUGCAGGUCUAGACUGGAGCUUAGGUUUUAAGUGAGUGGUAGUGAUGUUCUGUAUCCCAAACAGAAGGACAUGUGUUUCUCUGAGCAGGAAUAAUUGGGUACCAGGAAGGAGUCAUACUGCCUUUGCUAUUUGGAAGGGAGGGAGGGUAGUGUUGAGGAGGAAGAUUCAUCAGGCCUUCACCUCCUAGUCCGAGAAUGCAUAAGGAAGAGUUUAUCUUGAUCAAUAAACAGCCAUGUAGUUGGUAGAAUUCUGCCUCGGAGUGAUCAUAAAGGCCAGGAGACCAGCCUUAAAAUUAUGAAACCUAGGUUCAAGUCCUACUAAUGCCACUUAUUUUAGAAAAUUUGCUAAUUUCUCUGAGCUUUAUCAUUUGUAAAGUUCUCAUCUUCAUCAAUCUCAACUCAUAGUUUUAUGGUAAAACUAUAACAGUGACCUGCAAAAUAUUUUAUAAACUACAACUCACUAUAAUAUUGCUACCUCUUGCUCAAAUGCACGAACUUCAAAAUAGUUGCUGUGGUCAUUUUUAAUAUUCAAAGAAAGUAAAAGGGCCAAACUGGUUUGGUUUUUUUUUUUUUCAGUUUUUUUUAAUCCAUGGUCUGUAACUGACUAUGACCCUAUUUCUUUGAAAUAUGUGUCAAUAUUUUCUGGGUUACAUAGUUGAUGUUAUGAAUCUAUAACUUCUAACAUUGUUAUUUUUAUCCUUGUGGUUAUUAACAAUUAUAACCUAGCUCAUAUGUAAGUCUCCCCAAUUCUUAAAAAUGUUUAUUUAGUGGCUUGUGAUCAUGACUUC